AGAAUUUGCUCCAACAAAAACUCAAAGUUUCUUAAUGCUAGGGACAGAAUGGUGGGACUUCCGUCCAGAGAUCAUAUAUGAGAUGCAGAGCUGAACUGGAACGGAGAAUCUUAAGAAUCAGGAUACUAAACUCAAUGUCACUGCAGCGUCUUGCAUUUUGUUGGUGAUUCAUUGGUUCCUGAUAUCAUUGGUAAAAACUGCCUGGAGGGUGCCAAAGUUCUGCAACAGGUUGAUAAGAAGUUUAUUCCGAUUGUGGUGGGCACAAAACUUGCUAUAAUUGAUCAGGACUAUUCUGGCCUCUGCAUAGUCCAUUAUGCCAUUCCUGGUUUCUCAUGAAUUCCUUAUAAUGCAUUUAUUUUAGACAAUUGUUUCUCAUAGGGAUGGUUUGGUUGGACUCAGUAGCAAACAUAAAUCUCAGCAUAAACUUUCGCAUAAAUAGUAUAGCAUUUGCUGGCUGCGUAAGAAAAAGUAAUAUCCGCAUAAGUCAUAACUAUGUAGCACUCAGUUAUCCGCAUAAGAAAAAAUACGCUCGACAUAACUAAUGCUGCAUUUUGUUGGCGGUAUUUAUCUGUUCAUUUUUAAUAUCCUUAUGACUUAUGCAAGAAUCUAUGUAUUACUUUAUGCGGGAUAGAGUAUGGAAUAAAAACAUAUUUGUCAACAAUGCAUGGAUUCGUGUUUAAAGGCAAAAAUUCUCUUUAAUGUAGAUAGUCCCUGCAUAGCAUAACUCAUUUAUUAUUCACCGCGUUAGGAUCCCUACAUUAUUAUUUACCGCAUAACAGUUUUUACAUUAUAAUCACUGCAUAAACAUUCCCUGUAUGACUAAUACUUUAACCAAAUAAUGUCUUACUCUUUUGUAGUGCAAUUUUGUGAUAUCACUGAAGAGAAGGAGAGUGAUAUAGGGUGCUUUAUAUUUUGUUCCAUCACUUUGUGACCGUCUGGUGGAGUAUAUUGUUAUGUAGAAACUGAGGCCCAUGUCAAAAUAAAUGUGCAUCUCUUUUUUCAUAGUCGAGGAUUAUGAUAUUUUGUUUGAUUCUAGCAUUUAUCUUUGUUAAGCAUUACACUCAUUGUCAUGUUCUACAGCAUGCUGCAGAUGAGUGAAUUCAUUUUGAAGAACUGCGUGAGAAGGUAGUGAUUGUGUAAAAACUCAUUGAUGUGUCAUUUCAACGUGGAGUCUGUAACUUAGUGAAUUAUCAGGUCCUAUCUGGACAAAAGAAGACAACAACCUAUCUUGUUUACGAGCAAGAAUUGAUACAUUUAUGGUCAUCUAAUGUGAAAUAGAUUUGCCUUGUGCCGCUUGGCUUGCGGGGAAGACUUAGAAACUCCUUAUAAUAGGUAACAUUGAUUUUUGAGUCUUUGACCAUACUAUGCUGACCAAAUUCAAAACUGGGGUUGGAUCUGCAAUAUUCAUUCUCGAGCUUCAAGAUCAUUUAUCAUGAACUUAAAUCUGAUUCACAAGCAAGCAACAUCUGUCACACUUUUUGCGGUUUCUUCUGUAGUUGAUCUUAAUACAUUUUCCUUCUUUAAGUAGCAUGGAGGGACCAUUUUCAUCGUGCAAGCUUGAGUUCUUAUCUAACACAAGCUUGAGUUCUUAUCUAACACAAUUAAUUGAAUUUAUAUUUAAGUGAUUUCUCUUAAGAAUUAUUUUAUGCCUGUUUGAGUUAUUCAACCCCUGAAUUUUUAUUAUUUAUUUUUUACUUUUAAUGCUUAUGGAUAUACUAUAAUCUUUGGUGUUAAUUCGAUUUUAUUGCGCAUAGAUUUUUUUACGGUAUCCAAUCUAGGGACAUGUCUUAGAGUUCAUGAAAGAAGAGCCUCAGAUCUCAUUUAUAAUUAUUUUAGCUGUUAAUUUAAGAGUAGAUAAUUGUAUGAAGCAAUCAAAGUAAUGGAGGUUUCAGUCCAAACUUAAGAUGUGAGUUUAUCUUUGUUUAUUUUAUGUAUUUAGACAUCUCUUUGUGCAGUUUCGUAAU